CCUACGGGGGGCAGCAGUGGGGAAUAUUGCACAAUGGGCGCAAGCCUGAUGCAGCCAUGCCGCGUGUGUGAAGAAGGCCUUCGGGUUGUAAGCACUUUCAGCGGGGAGGAAGGCGGUGAGGUUAAUAACCUCAUCGAUUGACGUUACCCGCAGAAGAAGCACCGGCUAACUCCGUGCCAGCAGCCGCGGUAAUACGGAGGGUGCAAGCGUUAAUCGGAAUUACUGGGCGUAAAGCGCACGCAGGCGGUCUGUCAAGUCGGAUGUGAAAUCCCCGGGCUCAACCUGGGAACUGCAUUCGAAACUGGCAGGCUAGAGUCUUGUAGAGGGGGGUAGAAUUCCAGGUGUAGCGGUGAAAUGCGUAGAGAUCUGGAGGAAUACCGGUGGCGAAGGCGGCCCCCUGGACAAAGACUGACGCUCAGGUGCGAAAGCGUGGGGAGCAAACAGGAUUAGAUACCCGGGUAGUC
rnacentral:rRNA from 1 species